UACGUAGGUGGCAAGCGUUGUUCGGAAUUACUGGGCGUAAAGCGCGUGUAGGCGGCAGGGUAUGUCGGAUGUGAAAUCCCGUGGCUCAACCACGGAAGUGCACCCGAAACUACCCAGCUGGAGUCUCGGAGAGGAAGGCGGAAUGCUUGGUGUAGAGGUGAAAUUCGUAGAUAUCAAGCGGAACACCGGUGGCGAAGGCGGCCUUCUGGACGAUGACUGACGCUGAGACGCGAAAGCGUGGGGAGCAAACAGG
rnacentral:rRNA from 1 species